GUGGUUUAUGACCCAAGACCUGGGCAGCCUGCCACUAGUAGAUUGGUACAUACCAAUGGCGUUGUGGUGGGGAAAAAGUGUGGAUGAAAACCCCUUCCACCUGAAGUGGAUAGUUAAUACAUUGCUAAACAUAAAUACUCACACCAAUCAAGCCAUAAUAUUUUAUUUUCCCAUAGAAAUCUCACUUUAACAGUGCUCUCACUACUGCAAGGAAUUCUGGGUAGGCCUAUGCAAAUUAGCUCAACAGCUGUCCAUGAGUAGUUCACUGGCUUUGCACCUCUUCC